UCCAGGCCAAGAUUAGGAGAACUAAAAUUUUGGAUUUUUGAUUGUUGAUAAGGAAAAAUAAAAUCCUAAAACACAGCAGACCUUUUAUUUCUACAGUGAAAAUGCCAGCACAAUGAGGAACGUCUUUUGGCAAUGUUUUUCAAAUUUUUUGGCAGGCAAACAGUCCUGAUGUGUGCAGCAUUUUGUGCAAUACAUGUGCUCCAGAUGAAACCCAAAGGCUGCCUUCAGAGUGGGAUCAUACUGUUACUUCCAGUGUGGGCCAUAGGGGUGCAGAGGGAGUUCCUGAAAAUAGAGGAAACUGAGUCAGAGUGGACCUGUUUCUUGCUCCCACUAUGUUCACCUAACUUACUUCACUGAGACUGACAAAGACUGAUGAUCUCAAAAAACUGAAUGCAACCCAAUAUGAAUGUGAACAUGUGGAAUAAAAGAACCAAAUUUGUAAUGCUGUGCUAAGUAGUUCCAGAAAAUGAUACUGUAACGUAUUGGCUCCUGCAAUGGGGACAGAACCUACAAUGAAGCAAACUAGGGCUUAAAAUGAAUCCGGAUCUGGUCUCAAAUUCAAAACCUGUAUUGAUGCAGUAAAAUAAAGACAGCCUUCUUCAGCAGAACAGCAACAAGCCUACAGACAAAUGUCACUAGCUGGAAGACUGUGUGCAGAGCACUUGGAGACAGCACUGGCUGCUUGGCAGAACUUCUGGAGGAGAAUCUUUCGCAGUAGCAGCCUAGAAAAGCAAGACACCAGCAAGGGCUGAACUGAUUUGCUACAGAUUGCACCGAACACCUGCAACAGAAGGAAAACUCAGCUCGGGAUGUAGUGCUCCAGCCGCAAGAUGACUGUCUAUUAGCAGCUGUUUAUUCAGUAAAAAAUCUCCUCUGAAAAUCCCUGGAUUCUUACUUAAACUGGAUGUCUUCAGCUGCUAAAUGAUGCUCUGAAGUGUUGCUGUUGCACGGUGAAGCAAAUUGUUCACAGAUGCACUCUGAACUACCUUACGUUAACCAGCCGGGCAGCAGUCACACACCUGAGUGCGAAGGGCUGCCAGCCAGGACAUGUUCAACUGCCCCUGCAAUUGCCUGGGGCACCUCAGGCGCCGGCAGCGGCAGCGAGGCCAGGGCUGGCCUCCCACUCGCCUGUCCGCUCUGAGUGUCAGGGGAUCUCUGCUGGCCUUUGCCAGCUCCCUGAAUAUAUUCUGAUGGUACCAAUGUUUCUUAAAGCAGACCCUGCUUUAACUCAUGCCUGCUCCGCAGCGGCCUCCCCUUCACUGCCCACAGAUCCACUCAGUGAGAUGGGGCCAGACUACAUUGAUUUGGCUUGUGACUUUUGAAACUGCAAAAUCACUGGAAGGAAAAAACACUGAGAGGACUCACUGCACCGUCACUGAUUUUUCUGAGUUUUCAGGUUUGGAAAGAAGAAGAAAGAGCACCUGGUGUUAGACGUUUUUGCUCAGUGCUACGAGGCUGCUUAAACCCAACCCGUGCAACAGCCUCAGCUGCCUCUGCUGCAAAGGACACAGCAGCACCUGCUUCUAAACAGAAAACACAAAAACAAUGGCCGAGAGGCAGAUAUACUUCCUUGACUGAAUCCUAGCAAUUGUCAUCUAUUUUUUCAUCUAUUUAAUUAUGGACAAGCAUGGAGCAGUAACUUUUGUGAAAGUUAAAAAUGUAACUGUUUCCCUUUGGGACUUAGCUGUGCACAUCAGCAGCACAGCAGGACUCUGAAUAACUCCUACGGAGACGUGGCACAAUAAUGGAAAAGGUUAGCCAAGACACCUAGGACUGACGGCAGAAUUAAUGCAGUGAGACGCUGAAAGAGUGGUAGGACAGUCUUUGGGGUUAAGUUAUGAGAAAUAACUUCCUUGGGGGUUUUAGGAGUAGAAUAUUGUUCUUUGCUCUCAAGUUCUCUGAAUUUGCAGUGUGGUUUCAAGGUUAAUUUUGUUACAAGCUACUAACUGUCUCUGUAAAGUUAAUUUAGGGCCGCUGAUAGAUUUUUUUAAUUUGUUUUCUGUUUUGGGGAGCUGAUGAAAUUCACAAGGAUAACAUUACUAAACUAAUUUGUUUUAUAUUUUUACCUCACACACACAAAUAUUAGCUCUGUCAGCUAUUCCUCUUACUAUCGCUCCACUAACAAGAACUCGAGCUCUCUGUACAUAGGAAGAAAAAAAUCCUUCUCAGACCAUGAAGUAGCUGUCACAUAACUUCAUAAUCAUUAUAGCUAUCUACACCUCUUUCCUGCUAAAGGACCCCAAGGACAGAAAGUCCAAAAAUCACACUGUCCUCUGACAGCAGAAUAAGCUGCCCUUUUUACCUGGUGUACAGGACUCCUAGAUGUGCCCUCAUCCCAUAUGGCAGAGGCAGACUGGGAUUCAUACUUCUGUGAGCCUAAAUCAUGAGGAGGGAUUUAUCUCAGUUUGACCAAGGCGGGGGGAGGGGGAACGACAUAGAAGUGAGGAAGCACAAAGCAGAGGAGAGAUACGCAAGGGUUCUUUAAAAAAACAAAACACUGCCCUAAAUAAGAUAUAGUGAACAAUCUUAUGAAAACCAGAAGCUACUUGCAAAGCCACAAGUCACAGUUUUUUCUCAUAAAGCAUUAAAGUAGGGUUUUGCCACAAAGUGGGAAUAAAUAAAAAGUAUUAAAUAACUCUUUCCCAUUAGCACAGGGCUUCAUCUCAAUAAUGUCUGGAUAAACUUCUUCACAGGCUCCCCCAGAUGAGGAGCAAGGAGGUACUGGUUUCCCUUGUUCCACCAUCUCCAGACCCUGUUUGCACUAGCAAGUAUGUAAAA